UGGGAGAGAUAUGAAGAAAAACCCCAAAAUAACAGGCAGUGACAACAGAAACUCCCACAGGUCAGGGGUGAAAGCAUCAAAAUCAACUGUUCAAAGACGUUUACUCAUCGGUAGGAAGGAUCACAAGGCCAAGUCACCUACCAAAUCCCCACCCACCUGCCAGCUCUCCCCUAUCACACAACAGCUACCAGCUGGGAAAGACUGGAUGUUAACACAUGCUUCCUCAAGACAUGAAGCCAGCAAACCGCUGAACAUCUUUACUACUUAUUCUCAGUCACUGGACAGUGUAAAAGACGGAGGAAAGAAUGAUCUGCCCUCUUCCACUUCCACAAGCUCACAGGCAGCCACUUUUGGCCGUUGUUGCUGUUAUUGACAGGAGAGAGAAUGUACGGCCACAAAUGUCUGUGAUAACACAUGCUGUCCCCUCCAAAAGUAUCGGAAUGCCAAGGUCCAUUCUUUUGUUUCUCAAAACACACUAUUAGGCAUUUGGGUUUUAGGGACAAGAUGAAUUUAAGACCAUAGAACAUUUCUACAUUCAUUUCCUUAUUUUUAUAUCUAGAUGUGUUAUACAAAUUAAAACAUGGCACCUUUGGGUGAGCAAAAGUAAAUGUCCCUAACCUAACCUACUAAAGAAAGUCAAACAUAAUAUUUGUGUUUUUCCCAAUUUCAAUAAUUGCAUCAAGCCAACAAGAUGUUUCAGGGGUUUUCUCCUUUCAGUCUCCUCUUCAGGAUGUGAAAUGAUGACCAACAGUAUUAAAGUCCACACAAUUCACUGUAAACUGGCAGACAAUGUUUAUGUAUGAUUUCUGAAUUCAUUCUACUGCACCCAUCAUAAUCAAUAAUGAUUAAUAAUCAUUAUUUACCAGCAGCAGCCAUGUGAGCUCAAGCCAUGACACUUGAAUGAUGAGAUGUUCUUUUGGAUCAUGAGCAGACCCUUUUUCUCUCCACACUUUCCAUCAGUUUGUAGAGGCUCUGUGUUUCUUUGUGAAUUCCAAUCUGGUCUUCUGAUUAUUACUGAUGUGUGCUAUGGUCUUUAUAUUUCUGCUCUUGAAGUCUUUAUAGAAUUGUGGGUUGUGAUACCUUCACCACUGCCAUGUGGAAGUUGUUAGUGACAUCAUUGUUGUUUCUGGGGUUUACUUUACAAUCUCGCACAAUGUUUCUAAUCAUCUACUCUUGUUUGAUUUCCAACCUGUUGUAUUGGAUUUGCCCAAAGCUUGUGCAAUGGCUGUUUUUAAAAUGCCUUGGUCUUCUAUCUUGA